rnacentral:rRNA from 1 species
GACGGAGGGCGCAAGCGUUGUUCGGAAUUACUGGGCGUAAAACACAGACAAACGGUCUGUUAAAUCGUUUGUGAAAAUCCGGAGCUCAACUCCGGAAAUGCGUACGAUACUGACAGGCUGGAGAUCGGUAGAGGCUAGCGGAAUUCCUGGUGUAGCGAUGGAAUGCGUAGAUACCAGGAAGAACACCUGUGGCGAAGGCGACUAGCUGGGCCGAGUCUGACGCUCAUCCGCGAAAGCGUGGGGAGCAAAC